rnacentral:lncRNA from 1 species
AGUGAGCUGCUAUUCAGACUCAGAAAGUAGCUUGGAGAAUACUCCAGACGUUAGGCUUUGCGAGUUUUUGUUUGUUUACAUAGAAAAGUCUCUUUUAAAUUUCCUUAUUCUUACACUGCAAAGAGACCUAACCUUGAUGGGUCCCAUCUGCAAUGCUCCUCCUGAAAAGAGACAGAGCUGUUUAACUGAACUGACCUAUUUGGAGGACGAAUAGACUGAUUGAAAAAGGUGCCCAGGAAGUCCUGGAACUGAGUCCUGGGGCAAGGUUCUGGAAGUUGGGACAAGAAGAUUCCUAGAAAAGAGGAAAACAAUCACUCUAGAACUGUUAUAAGCAUGCUAACCAGGACUUCAGAGAAAGGAAAAAAAAAGGCUGAACCUCGCUGGUGAUUCAGAUGGAUCAUGAGGAUCUUUCAACAAAGCUAAGUUCCCGUCUUUUAACGCAGUUAUUCUCAUACUUUUAUACUGAAAUAUCCAGAAUAGCAAAUGAGUUAAAUAUGUUUUCUGUGGGGUUCUGUACAAAGAAGAUUUAGAGCUUUAUGAACCUAAAAUAACAUAUCACAAGGAGAAAAUUUACUUGAAGUGGGAGACUUGGCUUAAAAGCAUCUAAUAUAAAUUGUAUAUUAUAUUCAAUAAUACAAAAGCAAUGCUUUAUUUAGAAUGAAUUAAAAUGCAUGCUUCAGACAAAAUGCAUGAUGUUUAGCUUUUGAUUUACUGAAUAUACUAUUCAACAGAUGUUUGAGUUACAUAGUUUGAGGAGCACAGGCCUUUGGUAUUGAUGGCUCCUGUUAAAAUAAAAACAUGUUUUCUGAGAGCAUAAUCAUAUGAAACCAGGAGCACAUAUUAACAUAAAACUCAAAUCACUUCCCCUGACUUUCUUCUUUCAAAUGUAAAGAAAGUGGGAAACAGGACAGAUGAAUUUGAAGAAACAGAAGAGCUCAGGAAAGUUCAAAGCAUGAAGCAAACUCAAAAGUAUAUCUAAAUACCUAGGGAGCACCUUCAAAGCACAAGGUACCUGAAGAUGAAACGGCAGAAGUGAAAAGAAUUGCUCGUGUAGUACAGGGCUAAAAUUGUACCUGAAGCAUCUCUGCUGCUAUCCCAGGAGAAGAAGAGUCGACAGUAGCUAUGGUAAACAUGCAUGGAAGCAUCAGGGAAAACAGAAAUUUAGAGAAGCAGAUAGAGUGAGCCCAAGGCAAGAUAAGGGUUUCUGGGUCUGAAUUUCAGAAAAGCCUGACUAUGGAGAGUGGGAGUUCCUGUUUUCUUUCAGUGACUUGCUAAUUUCAAUUUUGUGUGUGUGUGGCAUUAACAGAUUUUUGCCUAACUUGGGACAUUUUUAACAGUAGAGGAACUCUUCUGUCAGUUCUGAUAUGGUAAUUUUAAAACACAUAUUCUUUAACUGAACAUUCAUUAAAUCACUUGGCCAGGAAUCCAAAUAACAAAAUGUCUGUCAUGGAAUUCUGUGUGUAAUAGGAGUUAUGUAACUUGUUUCUUCUUAGUAGAGAGAAUAAAAAGUAAAGUCAAAACCACCCCCAGAUGACCAUUUUUAGCACUUUCAUUUUAUCGGGAGAGGUGAGCAACAUGCAGAAAAUAUAUAUUCUUGAAUUAAUCUCCUUUGGGUACAGAGAGAAAAGAGCUCAUUAUUCUUCUAACUGGCAACGUUUGAUUUUAUUGACACCCUAACAGUAUGUCAAUUGCUCAGUAUAUCUCCCUAGGCUGUAGUCUUGCAGACUUUCUUUUUUCUUUUUUUUUUUAACUUACCAAUUCUAUGAUGUAUUCCCAUGGAUGUCUCUUUUUAUGCUAUUUUACAAUCUAUUUCUAGAAUAAUCAUGGAAAUUUCAAUGGAAACAACAUAUCACAUUCUCUGUCUACUACAUAAGUAUGUCUUUUUUAUUUGUAAAUAGAUCAUAUUUUGCACAUAAUUAGGUAAUACCCACAUAUCUCAAUUUGGCUUAGGAAUUAUAUUGAAAGAUAGAAUUGCAUAAGGGUAGGGAUUUUACUUUUAAAUUAUUUUCAUGUCUCCAUGGAUUGGCUCUGUGCUUUACACCCAGUAGCUGUGAAACAAGUACUUAUUUAAUGAUGAAUGAAUAAAUAAAUAAAUAGUUAAAUGCAGCAACAAAAAUGUUGGUAGAUAUAUAGGAUUGUAGAAUCUAAUUGCUUAGUAGGAUCAUCAAGUUCUACCCAAAUUUGGUGUGGCAAACAGAACAAUGGUCCCUUAAGGAUGGCCUAGUCCUAACCUCCCAAACCUGGAAUAUGUUACCUUAUGUAACAAAGAGACUUUGCAGAUGUAAUUAAGUUAAUGAUCUUAAGACAGAAAUAUUAUUCUAAGUGAACUCAAUGAAAUUACAAUGAACAAUGUUCCUUAAAAGAGGAAGGCAAAAGUUCAGAAUGAAACACACAGACACACAUAAAGUGGCUACGAAAGCAGAAGUAGUGAGAGAUUUGAAGAUGCUACCUUACUAGAUUCAAAGACAGAGGAAGGGGUUAAAAUCUGAGGAAAUCAGGCAAGGCAGCCUUUCGAAGCUGCAGAAGAUGAGGAAAUGAAUUCUCCCUAGAACUUCCAGAUAGAAACAGCCCUACUGAUGCCUUGACAUUAGCUCAGUGAAACGUAUUUUCAGACUCUAACUUCCAGAUCUGUAGGAGAUAAAUUUGUGUUGUUUAAGCUACUACAUUUGUGGCAGUUUGUCAAAGUAGCAAAAGGAAACGUAUAUUUGGUAGGCAUCAGAAUUUCCUGAGCAAUAUAGUGUGAUUACCUUUGAAAAUUCUACUCAGCAGUCCUGGAAUUGCAGCCUGAAAUUUGAAAUUUACUAAGUGCUCCCACUAUAUCUGAGUCAGGAAUUACCUAGGAAACCAUGAUAUAUUGCAUUACACUAAUUUUGUACUUGAGAAAAAGCACAAUGUUAAAAUCUCAAGAACAUUAAUAUAGACUUAAGUACAAUUUAUCAUGUAAAAACAUAUUUGAAAAAGUAAGCCUGAAAAAAAGAAACAACUGAACUAUUAACACUAUAUUCUCUAACUAUAUAUUGAUUUUCUCCUUUUGCUUUUACACAGCGAACCACAUAUACUUUCACAGAGGGUGAUUUGGAUAAUAUGUUCCAUGCAUUGCUCCAAGCAGAAAUUCUCAAUCUAUCAUUUCUGCUUGUAUUAUUUUACACCUCUUAAAGACAUUCACAUUCCAUCACAGGGAGCCAAAAUCAGCCUGUUAUAUCUCUGUUUGCGAAUACCGCAAUACUUACUUUACUUUCUCCUGAAUAGAUUGUUAGUGGUUUUUAUUAUCUCCUGUAAAGAGUGUGAGAAAUGCAUGUUGCAAGGACACUUUUGUUUUAUUCACAUUAUUCUACUGAAUCAUGCUAACCAUAGCAUUACAUCUAUUUAUCUAUCUAGCUAUUAAACAUAUUCAGAAUACCUAACAACUUUAGGGGCAUUCAGUAUAUAGAAUAUGCUAGUAUUUGUUAUUUUCUAAAAAUUAAUAAUUAAGAAUGUCAUUCUAUUAUUGCAUUAGUGACUUAGUUAAAAUUUAGACCAUUAACAAAAAAGAGAUGAAAAAAAAAACAAAAAACAUUAGGCACUAAAGGAGUCCUCAGCAAUGGCUUUUUCAAAAUGAUAAUUUGGCAUCAUAAAGCGGGUAUUUGGUAACCAUACUCUAUUACAGAACAGCAAAUGGAAUUUAUGUUCUAUUUUCCCAUAUCCACUUCUUUACUAUAAUUUAGCAAUCAUUGUAAUUCUUACUAUAUAGUUAUUUCAAAUUUGAUAUGAUUCUUAAAGAUGCUCUGAUAGUAACAUUUUCUUUAGUGCCUCAUGUCACUCUCUCUCUCUUUCUUUAAAAAAUAAGUUGUCUUUACAGGAACAAAUUUCACUAUAGAUGCCUGACUUUCUCCUUUCAAAAUGAUUAUUGAAACUCAUUGAGAUCUGGCACUCUGUGUUUCUUAUUUUUAUUCCGUACGUAGGAAAAAAAGAACUCAGAGACACACAUGGUUUUAAGAGGCUGUGACUGUCAACUCUGCCCCUUCCUAUUGAAUAUUGAAGCCUUUAUGUUAUUGAAUACAUUGAAUAUAUUGCAAAUUGGAACCCCAUUAAUAGGAUUCUAAGAAGCCUUACUACUAGAUCUGGAUUCUAAGCCUCCUUGCUUGUAUGAUAGGUUAUUGUCUGAGACAUUAAGCAACUAGACCUAUGUUGGGACACUUGCUUCACAAGGUAAUGCGAUGUAUUAAUAAUGAGGAAAGAAAAAUUGCCCUGCUUGUGCUAGUGAGGAUCUUGAGCACUCUCUAUUUUCUCUUCACUCCUGCUUUAGUGGUUGCAGAAAAGAUUUUUUUUCUGUCAGAUGUACAUGCAGUAGCAAAAAAUUGAAGCAUCUUUCCUCACUAAUGAGCUGCAAAAUUUAACAGUUUGGGGGAGUCUCCAUGGAAACUUUUUAAUAUGGUGACCUAUGAGUGCUAAAUGUGUAUGAGGUGACAAUUCCUUCUACAUGGAAGACUGUCACAGAUAGCAUAUGGUAGGACUUUAUGAAAGCCACUAAAAUUAUUUCUGCCUCAGUUUCCAUCACUAUAAAGGCAUAAUCAUAUAAUCUCCAGUCAUAAGGAUUACUGAGAUAAUCUUUAAAUUUGCAUUAAAUUCCUUGGAGAUAGGCAUUAUAUAAAUAGGAAGCUCCAUAUUAAAUGAACAAAAUUUCAAUAAAGAGUGGCUACACUUAAUGGAUACAAUGUGGUCUGAAAUUUAAGUAAUUGACCAGAAAUCAGGACUUGGGACCAAUUACUGGACAUCCAAUUUGUGUCAUUUGAGAGAAAUUGCAUAGAACAUUCUUUCCUCAUUUUCAACAUUUACUUAUUACAUGAAGUAGAUAAUUUAACACUAAAUAAGGCUAUAGUUACAUUUUCUCCAUGUGUCACUGCAGGCUGCAAAAAAAAGUAUUAUAUUAAAUUAAUAGUCAGAAUCUUUCCCCAAAUGAUGAUAAUUGGAUCUCUGAUUGAAAGGACACCAAAGAAAUGGCUAGAGAAAAUAUAGCUCUGUCCUCAGUAUAUAGUAUUUUUAAUAAUAAUCUAUAUUUUUAAAGUAUUACAUCAUGUUCACUCCAAGAAGGGAGAAAAGAGCUCAAAACAUAUCUGGUGGCACAUCUGUAGUCCCAGCUACUUGGGAGAUUGAGGCAGGAGGAUCACUUUAGCCCAGGAAUUUAAGGCUGCUGUAAGCUAUGAUUGCACCUGUGAAUAGCUACUGUACUACAGCCUGGGCAAUAUAGGAGGAUACUGUCUCUUAAAAAAACAAAACAAAAUAUCUGACAUUUAGCUUAUAAAUCUCAUGUAUUAAUGGUUCAUAUUUCUGUUAUUCAUGCUGACAUAAUUAUUGUGAAGUCUUUUUGCAUGUGAUAAGAAUCUAUAUUCUUAUUCAAUAUCUAUUAAAUAUAUGGUACUCUGCUAGAGUAUUCUGAUGGACUCAGGGUAGAAAAAUGACUAAAACAACAGCUAUCUGAAUUUCUCUAUCUUAAUCAGUAUGCAUAGUGUUAACCUUAUAUAAGAAUGUCCCUAUAGUUAAUCAUUUGUGGUUUCAUUAAGCAGUAUUGAAGCUUUUAGAAGAAAUCACACAUACUGUGAUUUAAGGAAGCCUGGCAGUUACAACAGAAAAAAGAAGCUGAUUCAUGUAGAAUGUCUUGAAAUUUUGUCACUGGUAAUUUUGGCAAGAACAUUAUUAAUGUUAAGAUUUGUUUAUAACCAAUGAGAACACAUGGACACAGGGAGGGGAACAUCACACACCAGGGCCUGUCGGGGUUGGAGGACCAGGGGAGGGAUAGCAUUAGGAGAAAUACCUAAUGUAGAUGAUGAGUUGAUGGGUGCAGCAAACCACCAUGGCACGUGUAUAGGCAUACACUGUAACAAACCUGGAUGUUCUGCACAUGUAUCCCAAAACUUAAAGAAUAAUUUUAAAAAGUUUUUUUUAAAGAUUUGUUUAUAAAAUGGCAAAUUGCUUAAUCAGGGGAAUCCUCAUUGAGUUGAGAAGUAUGAGCUGUGAAGUAUGUUUUGCUGGAAAUAAACUUGUAAGCCGCUACAUAUAUAUUCUCCAAACAGAAAUAAACGCAAACAUCAUUUACCUGGAGGACAGGUUGAGAAUGAGUUAUAGCCUAACAUGACAUACAUAAGAAACUAAAAAAAAAAAAAAAAAAAAAAAAAAAAAAACAGAAUGAGGAUGAUACAUGAUCCCAAAAUAGAAGUAAGCAUUUUUUGGACAGAAAAGAUUCUGAAAAACUUGUGUCCCAAUGGUUCAUCCUUGAAUUGUAUCAUUGCAACUACCCCUCCCUCAUACAUAUACCAUGUCCUCUUCAUGAUUCUGAGAAAUUUUGAAGACCAGAUUCAAGGGGGUUCACAAAUGCCACUAAGACCUUCAUGUUACUAAGAAUGAUUAGUAUAUCAGCCUGGAGAAGCACUUGCUACAGGUUAGGCAAAUUAGGGUCCCCUUAUAGAAGAUGAUUAAAGUAGACAGAAGGAAUAAAAUUAACGUAUUAUUCAAUAAAUCUUCCUUAUGUCUCAUCUGGCUAAAUAAAAGUCCUGGGAAUAUAUUUAUAACUAACCAUUAUGCAAGUUCUUUCAACCCAAAAUAUUUUCUCCCUAUAUUAACUCUAUGUACUCCCCUACACACACACAUAUAUCUCCUAAACUUUUUAAACUAUUCUAAGUUAUGUGCUAGGAAUUGUACUAGGCAUUUUACAAAUAUAAAUUCACGCUAUUUGUACAUUUAGAAAAGUAAGAUACAAGAUUAUUUUUAAUCAAUAUUGACAAAAUUUAUCUUCUUUUUAAACAUAUUGACUAAAUAGUUCAGAGUUCAAAGAUGAAUUAUGAUAAAGAGUGUUUAGCAAAAUGUUUACACAUAAAAUACUUUGAACUCACUAGCAAUGAAGCAAAUAUUAUAGCCCGAAGACUCUCAGGAAAUUUAAUCCAGAAUGGAGGAUACUAAGUGAUGUAUGGAACUGCUUAUUCUACUUAAACAUCAAAACUCCACAUGAAUCUUCGAAGUGUAUCUCUGCGCCUUAAAUGAAAACACAGUUUUGACAUUGUUUAUUGCCUCUUGAGAGGAAACUCUGCUCAAUUCAUAAGUGAAUCAUGAAUUACCCAAUUUUUUCUUCCAUGGGCUUCUCUCAGGGUGCCCCUUGGUUUAACUUCAUUAUGUACAAACAUGGUAUUACCUUCCAUAACACAAUAUUUCAUAUACAGAGUGAUAUAUCAUUUAGAUGACUCUUUAGACCAUCGUUUUGAAAGCUACAGUUUUCUGAGCUAACAAUUAUAUUAUAGCUAUAUAGAAAUAAUAAAACCUUUUUUUUUUCUUUUUUUGAGAUGGAGUCUCACUAUGUCGCCCAGGCUGGAGGGCAGUGGCGCGAUCUCAGCUCACUGCAACCUCCGCCUCUCAGGUUCAAGCGAUUCUCCUGCCUCAGCCUCCCGAGUAGCUGGGUCUGCAGGUGCGUGCCACCAUGCCCAGCUAAUUUUUUGUAUUUUUAGUAGAGACGGGAUUUCACUCUGUUAGCCAGGCUGGUCUCCAUCUCCUGACCUCGUGAUCCGCCCACCUCGUCCUCCCAAAGUGCUAGUAUUACAGGUGUGAGCCACUGCGCCAGGCCAGUAAAAUCUUUCUUAAUUAAACAGCCCUAUAUUGUGCAACUAUAAUAGAAUAUGUGAUAACUAAAUUCAAAGGGUGAGAGAAUCAUAAAAGUUAUCGUACAUGCCUAAACUUAUGUACCAAAAUGUGCUAUGUACAUGCAUACAACUAAGUGUACUAGGCUUUCAUCAGAAGUCCCUUUUAGUUAUCUGCAGCUGCUUUAUUCCUUUUUGUAGAUCCCUUAUAAUUAUAAAAAUAUUUUUAUAUACAUUCGAAAUAUCUUAUGAUUAUAUAUAGUUACACAUAUUUGAUAUAUAUUUAUAUAUGUAUUACAGCGAUGUAUUUCUGAUCAGUGUUUUCUAACAACCACAAAUAUGUGGAAUAUAACUUAUACAAAAAACAUUUUGGAUGACAUAACAACUCAGAAGUAAUAAUUUUCCACACCAAUGACCUGUCUCUACUUCUAAUAUAAAGAAGGCAUCAAGAAGUAUGCUUUCUUAAAUAUGCUCCCCUUCAGCUGACAGUUUAUUGGCUACCAAGACCUAUAGUGAGGAGCAAAUAUACAUUUCUUUAUUUAGAAUAUUGACCCUUGGGAGAGGUGUAUUUCAAAUGCAUUUUUUUUUUUUUUGCAGGCUUGAGUGGUUAAGCUUUUUAACGAUAUAAUUCUACAGAGAUCAUUUCUUCCAAUUUUCUUUAAUUUUCAGUUAAGUAAUCUGUGACCUACUAUACCUAUUCAUUUGGGGAGAAUUACAAUGCAAUUUCAAUUUCAAUUGAAGUCUCUGACCCUUAUUUACUGAAUCAUAAGUAUUUCAUCCGAUUGUAUUUGUGAGCCAAGAACACUUUCUACUUAUUUGGGGAUGCUUCUUUUUAUUAUUUCCUCAGGAUAAGACAAACUUAGUGAGUGGAAGACUAGUUGUGUGGGAGAAUAAUAACUUAUAAGACAGGUUUUCACCCAAGUGCCAUAGAAAGACUGUCAUACAUUGAUGAUGAUGUGAAAUGUGAAUUUAAGGCCUAUUGUUUAAUCCAUUGCUCUUUUUAAUACAUUGACUUUUUAGUGUGGUAGGGCAGCCGAGAAGUUAGCAAUAUUUCAUUAUUUCUCAAGUAAAUCAACUCAAAAGAUCAUUACCAAAAUAGUAAAAUUCCACGUAUUUUCACUAUCUGCCAAGUACUAAAACCCAGCGUCAUCUUGUCAUAAAAAAAUAGCAAUAUAUUGGAAUCCUUUUUGAAGUCUUCAGUGCCCAAAGUAUGGAAGAGAUCAGUUAACAAAAAUGCAUUAAGAGGAAGAAUAAUAGGAUUUAUGGAUCUACUUUUAGUUUUGUUUUGUUUUUGCAUUUUCAUAAUGUUUAUUGAUAUGGAGAUAUUACUUUUAAACAUGCUAUAGUUUAGCUUACAUUUAGAAUACAUUUCCUGUAAAUGAAAAUGCACAAUAGUAAGCAAAGUUACUAGUACGGAUUGACCAUUGAAAUCCCAAUGAGGGUUCCAGGAGAGUAAGCCCUUGGAAAAGUCUCUUGUUAUGAUGGAACCAGGAAAGUCACAAGCAUGACAAGGAAUAUGUUCUGUGAAAAGAUGCCCCACGUGUCCAAAUGCCUGGAGACACUGGAUGAUCUUUUUUCCAGAAACAACAACAGCAGUUUUAAAUAUGAUUCAGCAAUCCCAGUGAACUUCGAUAUUCAAAGAAUUAGAAAUCAGUAUAUUGACAUGACAACUACACUUCCAUGUUUAUUGCAGCACUAUUCACAAUAGCCAAGAUAUGGAGUCAACCUAAGUUGAUUAUCAACAUAUCAACAGAUGACUGGAUAAUGCAAAUGUGGUUUAUAGCACAAAGAAAUGCUAUUUAGCCUUAACAAAGAAAUUAUUGUCAUUUGCAGCAUCAUAGAUAGAUCUAGAUAACAUUACACUAAAUGAAAUAAACCAGGAACAGAAAGACAAGUAUUGUAUGAGCUCACUUAUAAUGGGGAAUCUAAAAAAAGUAGAAAUCACAGAAGCAGAGAGCAGAAUGGUGGUUACUAGAGGCAGGGGGUGGGAGACAUGAGCAAGGAAAGGGGAGAUGUUAAUCAAAGGAUACAAGGUUUCCUUUAGACAGGAGAAAUGAGUUCUAGUGAUCUACCGCACAGCGUAGUGCCUAUAGUUAAUAAUAAUGUAUUGCAUAUUUGAAAAUUGUUAAUAGGUUUUAAAUGUUCUCACCAAAAAUGAAUGAUAAAUAUAUGAGGUGAUAAUAUGUUAAUUAGCUACAUUUCAUCAUUCCACAGUGUAUACAUAUAUCAAUACAUCACAUUUUGCCCCAUAAAUAUAUAGAAUUAUUAUUAGUCAAUUAAAAUCAAAUAAAAUUUUGAAGGGCAGUGCUUAAAUUUCAUUAUUAUGCAAUAUACUACCUAUUUGAUCUUUGUCCAGUCACCCAGCCUCACUGUAUCAUUGUUCUCCUCUCCAAAAAAUAAAAUGCUAACCAAUUAAAGAGAAGCCAGAGGAAAGCAAAUAGAAGCAAAUUAAAGUAUGUUGCAUAUACAUAGUUAAAUUAUGAAUUAUCUACUUGUAUGUGAAUAGGACCCUCCGACAUGCACUCGUAUUUUUAAAAUAAAACAUAGCCUAGUGUUCCCCUGUUGGAAUUAUAAGCAUGUGCCACUCAGAAAUCAUAUGUCAGGAAAUAACUUUGCUCUGAAAACGUUCCAUAUUUUUUUCUUUUUAUAGAGUUCUGGACUACUUGGUAAUUCCACUUAUCAUUUGACAGAUUACUUAUCUGUGACCUGUUGUACCUAUUCAUUUGGAGGACAAAAUCAGUAGCCUCUUUAAGUGCAGUAAGAUUAGUGAUGACUUUGUUUGUCAUCACAAACCAAGACUGUUUUCAGGACAGUAAGUCCCACACCUAGGUUUCAGUGGAAUUUGAUUUGUAAGAACAAAUCAGUGCUUUGGAAAUGUCGUUCUUAUUUUAAUGAGUUUAUAAUUAAGCAGAACACAGGUUGUUUUCUUUGCAGAAUCCCACCCACAAGGAUUCUAUUGAUUUACUGUUUAAUUAUAUGAAAUAGCAUGUCAGGGUGAAGGUAAAGCAGAAAACAAAUUAUGAUCUAAUCUAAAAUGUAGAUCUAUAUUAGAAUGAGACUGCUGACCUGUGAAAUACAUUCAAAUAGUAUUUACCAAAAUCAUUCCUAUUGUCAAAAUGAUGAAGAGACAUUUUCUCUGGGUGUUGCAGUGGGGACUGAGACAGCAGAAGUCUCCAAAGGUAAUUGUGAACUUAAAACUCUAAAAUAAUUUCCACAUAUUUGCAUCACAAAAUAUAUUUUUCAUUGUAGAAAGAAUAAUUUAAGUCCCUCAAAGUUUUUUAAAUUAUUACUUAUAGAGGAUAUAGGUUCGGAGACAACAGUGUUGAAUGUAGAAGAACUACUGAAAUUAAAUGCAAGAAUAUUGAAGAUUACGGCUGAGCCUGUUUGUAGUUGCAAAUGUUAUUGCUUUCACUAAAAUUACUUUGAGACUAUUAUGUUGCCAUGAACCUUAUUCAAGUGGCAAGUUUUCUCACCCAAAGUAUGUUCAUCUUUCUCAAAUGAAAAAUUAUCCACAUAUAGAACAGGUAUUUACAAUCAUAAAGCAAAAAAUUAGUUAUUAUAUUUUAAUUAUUAUACCAGGUCCUAUAGGUAGCAUCCACUGAUGUAGCAUCAUUGAAUACUACUUUAUAUAAGACCUGGCAAAAUUACACAUAGGAAUUAGAAUUUUAAAGUGAACAAAACAAUUCCUUUUCUAUAAAAGCUAAAAAUGGCAUUCAAAUGUCAUUAACAUAAAUUAACAUAUAUGCAGAAUAUUGUAAGACCACCAAGGAGGACUCUACAAAGAAGAGGUAAUUAUUUUUAUAUGAAUGGCAGCUUAUUUUCAUAAUAAUAAUUAAUCACAUAUAAUCAUUGGCUUCAUGUGAUGUCCAUUUGUGAAAUAACAUGAUAGAACAUAAAAUGUGUGCUAAGGGUAGAUAAUAUUGGAAAUCUAGAAUAGUACUCAGUUGAGGAGAACCUUGAAGGUCAAACUAAGCCACUAGAUUAUUUUUACUUCCUUGGGGAACACAAAAAGUUUUGUUUACUCUUUCCAACUCUCCGGGAAAUGGCCUGUGUAAAGAAUGCUUAAGAAGUUUGAUCUGAAAAUACAUCUAGAAUAGUCCUAACUGGGCUGUUCUCAGGUACCUUACUUGGAGAUUCCAUAUGAUUUCAAAAGCAUUUCAAUGAUGAAAAGUCUAAAAGAACACAUCCCAAAGAAUAGGCAUGUUAGGAAAUGACUCAGAAUAUCCUACAACUGAUACUGAGAAAGAUGUAGAUCACAGGCUAGGCAAAAUUUUCUGAGGGGUGUGUGGGCAACUAUUAUGUUUUGUUUUGUUUAUUGUAUGUGUGUGUGUGUAUGUGUGUGUCUAUAUAGUUAUUGGAGCACAAGCAAGGGCAUACAUACUCUGGGGGAAAAAAAUCUUCCAAACUCCUUUUACAAGGCCAGCAGUACCCUCUUGCCAUAACUAGGUAAGGAUACUACAAGAAAAUAAAAUUAUAGACCAAUAGGCCUGAUUAAUGUAAAUGCAAAAACUCAAAAAAAAAAUCAAAUUCGGCUUCACUUUAAAAGGAUUAUGCAUCAUGAACAAGUGAAAUUUAUCCCUUGGAUGCAAGGAUGUUCAACAUGUGCAAAUCAAAAAAUGUGAUACACCAUGUUAACAGAAUGAAAAAUAAAAAACAAAUGAUAAUCUUAACGCAGAAAAAGUAUUUGGUAACAUUUAAUGUCUUUUCAUAACAAAAAAUUUCAACAAAUUAUGUACAUAAACAAUGUACCUCAACAUAGUAAGUGCCAUAUACUACAUAUAAUAAGCCUGUAACCAAUGUCAUAUUCAAUGUUAGAAAUCUGAAAGCUUUUCGUCUAUGAUGAGAAACAAGAUUAAGAUGCUCACACUUUCUACUUCUGUUCAAUAGAGUACUGGAAGUCCUACCCAGUCUAACUAGGCAAGAAGAAGAAAUAAAAGUCUUCUGAAUCAGAUAAGAAGUAAAAUUGACUCUGUUUGCAGGUGACAUGAUCUUAUUUAUAGAGAACCAUAAAGACUAUUGGAAAAAACUCUCAAAGGUCUUCCUCAAAAGGGAGCUUGCUAUUACAGUCUAUCUAGACUUGAAUGAGACAAAAGAAAAGCAAAAUGGGUCCUCCUUUGUGGAAAGACAAGGCAAAAGAAGAAGAGAGUUGAUUGCAUAAUGAAAAGGAGGCACAUGACUGAUGCCUGAUCCAAUGUCAGUGAGUUCUCCUGGUCCAGGGGUAAGCACAUGAAUUUCCAACUUUCUUGUCUUGAGAAAGCCAGAAAAGAAUAGCCUGGGCAUAACCUGAAGAAAUUUGAGAAAUUUCUCUCCCAGCUUCUACCUGGCUCCAGCUUUCAAGCCAAAAUCAGCUCCUGACUGUUCCAUCUCACUGCUAAACUAUUAUAUAAGGAGUGGAGGUUCUGGGACAAUUACAUUGCAUCCUUAUAAGACUAAGUCAGAGGAACAUAUGUCUAAUUAGAGUCUAUCUUAGUGCUGGCUGCUAUAACAAACUACAUUGGACUGGAUAAUUUAUAAACGACAGAAAUUUAUUGCUCACAGUUUUGCAGCCUGGGAAAUUCAAGACCAGCAGAUCGUCUGGUGAGAGCCUGACCCCCAUAGAUGAUGUUUUUGUGUCCUCACAUGACAGAAGGGGUAAACAAUCUCCCUUGGGCUUCUUUAAGGAGGACAUUAAUCUCAUUCACAAGGGUGGACCUCUUAUGACCUAAUUAUCCCCCAAAGGCCUAAAUCUCAAUAUUACCACAUUGGGAAUAGGGUUUCCACAUAAGAAUUUUGUGGAGACACAAACAUUCAGACCAUAGCAUUUCAUCUAAGUUCAAUUUUUAUUUUACUGCUUGAGACAAAAGGUACCUAACACAAGAAAGAAAAGGAUUUAAUCUGUAUAGAGUUAUCAUUGAAUCUUUUAAAUUUUUUACUUUCAAACAUAAGAUACUUAAUAGCUGACUCCAAAUAUACUAUUAAUUUUAUUUACUUUUGACUAAGUGAUAGUAAACACAAUAACAUUUGCAAAAUUGCCAGUAAACAGAUGCUAGUUGAAUUUUUUUUCUAUCUUAUCUUCUCAAGUUGAAGUAAAUUAAGAUAUCAUAUAGAGCAGUGCUUUUUAAUCUAAUUGAAGUAGAAGACUUUUUUUAUUUAUUUGUUUUCUUCUUUAAUUCCCAAUUGAUCAUAGACUAGGCCAUUUUUUUUUUUUUUUUUUUUUUGUAGAGUACAGAGAGAGAGAGAGAUAAUGUGCAUGUGCUUGGAUUUUACACUGAAAUCAUUCUAGAAAUUUCUAAAUGCUUCCUCUCAAAUUUUGUACUAAUUGUAUGACAGGCUAGUAGCAGUUUGUUGAUUGAUUGAAAUUGUGUAAUAUUAGAAAUAAUGCCAGAGAAUAUUGUAUUAAAAACUAUUUGCUCUAAAGCUUUUCCCUCCAAUAGCUCUAUGACACCUUGGAAUUCUCUAGUGAAGGCCUGAGUCUUAUUCGUUGUAUCCAUAACUUAAACUGAAAACUGCCUGAGACAUAGUAAGUUACUAAAAACUAUUAGUAGCUUGAAUAUAUAAAUUAAAUAAUCAAAGUAGUUUCAAAAUGCUCAAGAAUCCUGAACUUCCCUGCCUUGGGAGAACCAGUUACUAUGGUAUUAUAAAAAUGACAACAACAACAAAAGUGAAUAUAUUUAAUUACUUACCUCAAAUUCUAUAUACCUCAGGAAUACUUGGAAUUGAAUUAAAAUAACUUUCGGCCCUUAAAGGCCAUUUGUAGAUGAAGUGGGUUAACCUAGACUGUGAAAAUGGAAGGGCCUUAGGAUAAUCAAGCCUGUGUUAAUUCCAGUGGCAGACCCUCUUGUGGCACAUUCUAGCCUGAACUUUCACAGGACACUUCCUUUUCUUUCAAAUGGGCACACUGAUACUUACCUUGUGUAUUAGCCUGCUAGGGCUGCCAUAUUGGAGCAACACAUUUUUUUUUUCCUCUGACCAUGUGCAAUCGUGUUUGUCUCUCCCAUCUCAUAAGCAUACAAAUCUUAUUGGAUUAAGACCUUAUCUUAAAAAUCUAAUUUAACGUUAGUUACCUUCAUAAAGGCCUUGUCACUAAAUACAGUCAAAUUGCAGAUUACAGCUUCAAUUUAUGAAUUUUGGAGAAGGCUUUCAAUAUAGUUCACAACAGUUUGGUAAAUUGUUGUGAAAAGUUAGAGAUAAUCCAUAAGAAGCAUGUUUCAUAGUAUUCACUCCAUAUUGACCUGUCAUUAAGUUAUUACCAUUACUAAUGAAAUGUAUUGUUACACUAGGUAUUGGUUGUUAACCAAUGCAAAGUGAUGCAUUAUGUAUUUGCAAACUUCCUUAAAAACAAAUACAAUUAAAUGAGAGUUUUAAUAAAGUAGAAAAAUGUAAGUUUUUUCAAAAAGGAGUAAUAUCCAUGUUUACUCUAAGGCUACAUGAGAGUUGAGUACAUGAGAAAAGAACAUUAAUGAUACUAAUGAUAACAGCAAUGGUUUAAAUUGGCAGAUUUUAAAGGAUAAAGUGAUGGUCUAGGUUAUCUGAUCUCACAGUUAAUGACAUUGACAUCUUAACCUUGCCUUAACACAGUAGCAAGUAUCCAAACUCGCUGAAGAUUUAAUUUUUACCAAGUCUUUUUUUUUUUUUUUUUUUUUCAGAAACCAUCAUGAUUACUAAUUGACAAUCAUAUUUUAAUCAUGUCUUCAUAGUGGUUUUCUUAUGCAGCAUGAAUAAUUUCAUACCAUCUGUAUUACUCGACUUUCAUAACAAACCUCUGCCAAAGAAUUGAAAACUAAAUGUGCGAAUCUAUUCACUGCACUGAGCUCAUGCAUAAACUACAAGAGAAUGUUUGAGAAGUUAUCUAUGUAUUUGCGUAGGCUUUACAUUUUUUCUUUCAUUCUUUCUUGAGGCUUUUUACUCUGUCACUUUCCCCACCAACCACCAACAUGGCAAGUAGCUGCCUGGGCUCCUAGCUGGUUCCAUCUGUGGACCCUCUGUUUCAAAUUAUUUUUGACUUAUGAGUGGAAGGAAAACUUAAUGGUUUGCUCCAUCCUCUGCCCUGGAAUAAAUUUUUGUGCUUUGGGAAACUUUGCACCACUCUGGCAAUUUUCUGUUUCUUCACUCAAUAUAGGAUUCUAAUUGCGAAGGCCAAAAGCUAACACCAAGUAUCCUAGCAGAGUGGUGAGUGAGUAGUGAAAAAAUUACUUACCGAUAUAUAUAGUAGUUACUAUUCAGGGCUAUAUUAAUUCUUUCCUAUUUUGAGUACUAAAUUGACAUAGCUUUCAGAUGACAGCUGUGAUUGUCUCAAAAUGUGUUCGUUAUUACAUUUUGAAAUGAUAAAUCUCCCUCUUUCCUGAGGUAGAACGUGCUUCCAGUGCAUCUGUAGUGUUCUCAAAAAGCAGGAAGACAAUGCUCAGAGUGAAUGAACAGUGUUUAUAGAUCUAAAACUCCUUUGAGCUGUAAAGUACAAAGGAUAGAUAUUAUGAUCUAGUGAUAAAAGGAUCAAGUCCAGGGUUUCACCCAGAGGAUUUGGGGCAUAGAACUUAUAGAAACAUAAACCAAAGGACGCAGCCAAACAAUGUUAGGAGGAGUUAGCUAAGUACAGAAAAUUCCCUUAUGCAGAAUGUCUUCUGCUGAUUUUGUCCCCUAACUUUGCAGUUAUAGUCUCUCCCUACCCACUCCCUAUGCAAUAAAAAACCCUUUCCCCCAUAGCGAUUUUAUUCAAAGUGAUUCAAAGUGUUUAGCAUCAAGCAGAUACAGCUAAAUAUUUCCCUGACUACCUGGGUGACUUUGGGCAAGUUUUGUUUCUUUUCAGAGUUCAAGUGUUCCUAACUUGUACAAUAGUGAUGAUGAUAGGAUUUCUCUUCUAUCAUGGUAAUGGGAUCAAAUGGGUUAUUAUAUGGAAAGUGUUUACAAGUUUCUUAGCACAUAGUAGGUACCAAAUAGUGUCCAUAAAUACCUGCUAUUUUCAUGUGGAGAGAAACACAUAACUAUUUUUUUAAGACUUUAGCCUUUCUUUUGUCACCUGGAUCUAAGCUAUCUUGGUCCAAUGGCUUUAUUUUUCACCAGCGGGUCACUGCAUAUUCCUUUUGCCACAGAGUGUACAAUUGCUAUGAGCACUGGUUCAUGACUUCCCUGGGUAGUUGGAAUCAAGCUUCAAGAUGAGUGUAUCUAAUAGAUAACAGUAACUUUCAUUGCAACAGUCUCUCACUUAUAUAAGCUCAGAUAAAUGUCACUAGCACCUAUUCCAAGUUCCCAUAAAAAGGGGAAGCGGCAAUAGUAGGCUCUCCUGGUGAACAUUCUCAAGUGGAUCCAGCUAUACCUGACCCCUGCAUGUCUCCCCAUAGACAAUAGAACCUAUCAUGCCACAGGCAGCAACAAACUUUCUGCCUGAGAUCACAAAUGUGUUUCCUGUUUCUUCAAGACCUUUGUUUGACUCAUUAUGAUCAUCAUCAUUAUCGUCUUUACCAUCACCAUUAUCAUCAUUAGCAGCAGCAGUAGCAGCAGCAAAACCACCAUCACCAUUGGUACACUGUAAAAAAUGUCCUAUGCAUUGUGAAAAGAAUGGAAAUAUGUGACACUUUGUCUUUAUCUUCUAGGUGCUUAUAUAUUAGGUGAUAAUAACAUCAUAGUAAUAAGCCUUAACACGCAUGACACUGGUUCAAACCAGCUCGUGGUCCUCCAUCUCCAAUAUGUAACUGCCUAUUGAAACAGUCUACUUGGCUGCCCAACAGGCAAUGCAGAGCAUAUAAAGACAAAACUGAACACUUAGCCCUUUUCCAUCUCUCAUUCCUGGUAUCUUCUAGUUUCCUAUGUUAGUAAACAGCAUCCCUCUGCAAUUGAGUGCCCAUAUUCAGAAUUAUGGACAAUCCUUAAUUCCUCUAUUGUUAUAAUAUACAUUGACUAUAUCAGGAAGUGCUAUUAGCUCCAACCACAAAGUAUAUUUUGCGUUUUUUUUAAUUCCCUCCAUCUCUACUACGAUUACCCUAGCCUAAGUCAACAUCAUCUCCUGGUCUGACUCCCUGCUUCCAUCCUUCACUUACGACAUUCCAUUCAUUAUCUACUAUGAGAUAAUAAUACUUUUUUAAGAAGCCGUUAUAAUUAAAACAUAAUAAAUUGCCAUUACACUUAAAAUAAAAUCAAAAUUUCUGAUUUUCAUUGUAAGAUCUCAUGACCUGGCUCUUCUUACCAUAUUAAAUCUAUGUUUUAGGGGCUUCAUCUUUACUUAAAAAGUCUGGCCAGACUGGCUUCCUUUCUGUCUCUGAAUUGUAGAAAGCUCAUUCUCAACUCAGAGACUUUACACUUGCUAUUCCCUUUGUCUGAAUGCUUUCAUCUCCUUACCACCUAUCAGGGUCUUUCUCUUUCUGCAGUUGUGAGCUCAGAUAUUACCUUAACAGGAGAUCUCCAAAUUCCACCUUCCUGGUUAAAGCUGCUCUCCACUAUCUACCACAUCGGUCAUUAAAAUUUGUAAUUUUCUCUUCUCAUAUUCAUUUACUCUUUUUUUUUUUUUUUUUUUUUUUUGAGACAGAGUCUUGCUCUGUCACCCAGGCUGGAGUGCAAUGACUUGAUCUAGGCUCACUGCAACCUCUGCCUUCCAGGUUCAAGUGAUUCUCCUGCCUCAGCCUCCCGAGUAGCUGGGAUUACAGUACAUUAUCCACCUGAAUUGAAGAAGCAGAACCAGCCAGAAGAGGAAACACUGUAAUAAAAUUAAGAUCUGGACUCUAAUUCUGUUUUAUUUUCUCAACGUAUAAACCAUGAGUAAAUUGUUAAUCUUAAAAGAAAAUGUUUUUCUUCCAUUGUUCCUUUGUAAAGUGGACAUGAUCACACCUGUGUUCAGAAGGAACUGAUUCAGAGCUUGGUGCUGAAGGUAACAAAGCUAUCUGUGUUUGAUCAAGAUUCAAACCCUCAAUGUCUGAGAAAAGCAUCAUAUUCUUUAUCCAAGUGGACUUUGUAUAGAUGCAACAAAAUAUUCAUUCAAAUAUUUUCUAAAGUGCCAGGUCGCUUGAAGUUUACUUAUACUACUAUAGAUUUUAAGCUGCAUUUCACUGUAGAUAAUGCAAAGACAAUUAAAAGAACAGACAAUAAGCAGAUAAAGAGGCAUUAUUUUAUUACUAUGAAAGUUAAUAUGUCAUUUGUCACUGAAAUAGACAUGUCUUUAAUUUGCUUGGCAAAAGAGUGAGUAUAAGGUCUGAAUGUUUAAUCUCCCUAAAGUGUUCAUCACAUUGCAACAGAUUUAAUCUAUUCUCCAUCCAGAAAGACCACCUACAAACAAAGCAAUUACAAUUUGUUGUUUUACAGAUAAUAAAAUAAUUAGGUAUGCCAAGCAUAGGAAAGUAUGUAAUUUUACUGCCGUUUGUAAAAGAUGAUUAGAAGGAAUGCUCCACGGGCACUUCAGAAUUAAUUGAGAGGAACCAGGUACAGAUUUGAUUACUGGUAAUGCUUUUUGGAAGAAUCAGGAAUUUAGAAGCUAUUAAUAAUGAUUGUAAAGAUAAAGUUGGAGAAAGACGUGUUACAGAUGGGAAAAAGUUAUUGUUUUGCAGGGAAGAGUACAGAAUCACCCUUUAUGAUGCUUUGAAAUUCAGUCUAUCUUUGGUUUGGUAUAGAAAUUUGCAGAAAAUAGGUAACUAAAGAUACAUCAUAAGCAGGUUAACAAAUAAUGAUGAAACUGAAAAAACAUUUAUAAUGCUAAUAUUAUAACAACAACAAUUAUUAAUAUGGAGAAAACUACCAAAAGAGGCUGAAAUAUAAGGAGACAUCUUUUUUGGCUUAUUUUGUUUUUGUGUAAUGACCUGAACAAAUUCUCUUUGUAAUUUAAGUAGAAAUAAAAGCUUUAAAACCCUCUGAGGAUAUUUUAGUAGAAUCCUUCAAUGUCCUCCAAAAUCCAUUCUUUAUAGGCAGUAACAGUAUUAAAAAAAAUCAGUUUUCUAGCUUGAAAUACCUAUGGUAAUACUGUGGAUUAUUUUUAGUCAAUUCUAACUGAUGUUAUUUUUGAGAACAUAAAAGAAGUUUAUUGUGUGAUAAAAUUGGAAACCACAAGAUAUGUAUUAUGUCAGAAAGUGAUGGCAGAUAAAUGUCUGAUAAGAAUAUCUAUUAUAAAGGGAGAUGGAACUGAAAUAUAAUAGACAAGAGCCAUUUAAGAAAAUAAAUUACAUCUUAUUCAACAUUUUUGUGGUCUACCUCUUUGCCUCAGAUAUUAUAUGCUCUAUUUCUGUUCAUAAAAUGUUAUUUAAUGCAGUAUAAAGGUUCUCAUCUACCAUUCUAUAUUUUUUUGCAUCACAGCACAAUAUUAUCUGAAGACUGCCUGCUGAUAGGAGAGCAUGUUCAUUCAAUUUUUUAAGCAAUAUUAUUUUCUUUCGGAGAUAUGCAUAAAGAAGAC